CAAACCCACAGCUAACAUCAUACUCAACGAGAAAAAGCUGAAAGCCUUUCCUUUAAGAAGUAGAACAAGCCCCCUCACUCACCACCAACAGCCCGUGUCAGCGUGCGCAAGCCCUGCCACCACCCUGCAGAAAUGCUUCAAUUACCUGCAGUCUUUCGUCAGAUGAGACCAGUGCCGAGGGUCCUGGCUCCUCAUCUCACUCGGGUUUAUGCCAAAAAUGUAAAAUUUUUGGUGCAGAUGCCUGAGUCUUAAUGCUUCAAGGUGUAGACCUUUUACCCACUGCUGUAGCCAAUACAAUGGGGCCAAAGGGAAAAACAGUGAUUAUUGAGCAGAACUGGGGAAGUCCCAAAGUAACAAAAGAUGGUAUGACUGUUGCAAAGUCCAUUGACUUAAAGGAUAAAUAUGAAAAUAUCGGAGCUAAACUUGUUCAAGAUGUUGCCAAUAACACAAAUGAAGAGGCUGGGGAUGGCACUACCACUGCUACUGUUGCCAUGGAAGGCUUCAAAAAGUUUAGCAAAGGUGCUAAUCCAGUGGAAAUCAAGAGAAGUGUGAUGUUAGCUGUUGAUGCUGUAAUUGCUGAACUUAAAAAGCAGUCUAAAUCUGUGACCACCCCUGAAGAAAUUGCUCAGGUUGCUACCAUGUCUGCAAAUGGAGACAAAGAAAUUGGCAACCUAAUUUCUGAUGCAAUGAAAACAGUCAAAAGAAAGGGUUUCAUCACAGUAAAGAUGGAAAAACACUGCCGAUGAAUUAGAAAUUAUUGAAGGCACGAGGCCAGUUUGAGGAUAUAUUUCUCCACACUUUAUUAAUACAUCAAAAGGUCAGAAAUGUGAAUUCCAGGAUGUUUAUGUUCUAUUGAGUGAAAAGAAAAUUUGUGGUGUCCAGCCCAUUGUACCUGCUCUUGAAAUUGCCCAUGCUCACCCUAAGCCUUUGGUCAUAAUUGCUGAAAAUGUUGAUGGAGAAACUCUAAGUACACUCAUUUUGAAUAGGCUAAAAGUUGGUCUUCAGGUUGUAGCAGUCAAAGCUCCAAGGUUUGGUGACAGUAGAAAGAACCAGCUUAACGGUAUAACUAUUGCUACUGGUGGUGCAGUGUUUGAAGAAGAGGAGUUGACCUUAAAUCUCGAAGAUGUUCAGCCUCAUGACUUAGGAGAAGUUGGAGGGGUCACUGUGAUCAAAGAUGAUGCUAUGUUCUUAAAAGGAAAAGGUGACAAGGCUCAAAUUGAAAAACAAAUUCAAGGAAUUAUUGAGCAAUUUGAUGUCACAACUAGUGAAUAUGAAAAGGAAAAAUUGAACGGCUGACAAAACUUUCAGAUAGAGUAGCUGUGCUGACGGUUAGUGGGACAAGUGAUGUUGAAGUGAAUGAAAAGAAAGACAGAGUUACAGAUGCCCUUAAUGCUACAAGAGCUGUUGUGGAAGAAGGCAUUGUUCUGGGAGGGGGUUGUACCCUACUUUGUGCAUUGGUGCCUUGGACUCAUUGACUCCAGCUAAUGAAGAUCAAAAAAUUGGUACAGAAAUUAUUAAGAGAACACUAAAAAUUCCUGAAAUGACCAUUGCUAAAAAUGCAGGUGUUGAAGGAUCUUUGAUAGUUGAGAAAAUUAUAUAGUUCCUCAGAAGUUGGUUAUGAUGCCAUGGUCAGAGAUUUUGUGAAUAUGGUGGAAAAAGGAAUUAUUGAGCCAACAAAGAUUGUGAGAAGUGCUUUAUUGGAUGCUGCUGGGGUGGCCUCUCUGUUAACUACAGCAGAAGUUGUAGUCACAGAAAUUCCUAAAAAAAGAGAAGCACUGUGUAAUGGGUGCAAUGGGUAGAAUGGGAGGUGUUAUGGGAGAUGGCAAGUUCUAAUUAUUAGAAUAGUGCUUUACUUUAAUUAAUGAACUAUGGCAGGAAGUCCAAGGCAGUGUUCCUCACCAAUAACUUCAGAGAAGCUGGAGAAAAUGACUGAAGAAAAGGCUAGCUGAUGUUCAGGAAAUCACUAUAACGAUCAGUUACUGGUUUCAAGUGACAAAUAUAUAAUGUUUGACUGCUGUCAUUGUCUAUGCCUACAGAUAAUUUAUUUGUAUUUUCGGAUAAAAAGACAUUUGUGUAUUCCUAAUACUGGGUGCAAAAGCCAUGUACCAAUGUACUGCUUUCAACUUAAAUCACUGAGGCAUUUUUAAUACUAUUCUGUUAAAAUCAGGAUUUUAGGGCUUGCCACCACCAGAGGAGAAUUUAAGCAGCCUUUCUGUGGAGAGUGAGAAUAAUUGUGUACAAAGUAGAGAAAUAUCCAAUUAUGUGACAACCUUAGUGUAAUAAAAAUUUGUUUAAAGUUAAAAAAAAAAA